rnacentral:rRNA from 1 species
CAACAGGGAUUGCCCUAGUAACGGCGAGUGAAGCGGCAACAGCUCAAAUUUGAAAGCUAGCCUUCGGGUUCGCAUUGUAAUUUGUAGAGGAUGAUUUGGGGAAGCCGCCUGUCUAAGUUCCUUGGAACAGGACGUCAUAGAGGGUGAGAAUCCCGUAUGUGACAGGAAAUGGCACCCUAUGUAAAUCUCCUUCGACGAGUCGAGUUGUUUGGGAAUGCAGCUCUAAAUGGGAGGUAAAUUUCUUCUAAAGCUAAAUAUUGGCGAGAGACCGAUAGCGCACAAGUAGAGUGAUCGAAAGAUGAAAAGCACUUUGGAAAGAGAGUUAAAAAGCACGUGAAAUUGUUGAAAGGGAAGCGCUUGCAAUCAGACUUGUUUAAACUGUUCGGCCGGUCUUCUGACCGGUUUACUCAGUUUGGACAGGCCAGCAUCAGUUUCGGCGGCCGGAUAAAGGCUCUGGGAAUGUGGCCUCCACUUCGGUGGAGGUGUUAUAGCCCAGGGUGUAAUACGGCCAGCCGGGACUGAGGUCCGCGCUUCGGCUAGGAUGCUGGCGUAAUGGUUGUAAGCGACCCGUCUUGAAACACG